GCAGCCGCGGUAAUUCCAGCUCCAAUAGCGUAUAUUAAAGUUGUUGCAGUUAAAAAGCUCGUAGUUGAAUUUCGGGAUCAAUUUAUCGGUCGUGCCUACGGUAUGAACUGGUACAAUUGGUUUCUCCCUUCUGACGAAGCAUGAUGUCAUUAAUUUGGUGUCGUGGGGAAUCAGGACUGUUACUUUGAAAAAAUUAGAGUGUUUAAAGCAAGCAUUAGCUUGAAUACAUUAGCAUGGAAUAAUGAAAUAGGACGUUUGAUCCUAUUUCGUUGGUUUCUAGGAUCGACGUAAUGAUUAAUAGGGAUAGUUGGG
rnacentral:rRNA from 1 species